CGUAGGGGCGAGCGUUGUCCGGAAUCAUUGGGCGUAAAGCGCGUGUAGGCGGCUUGGUAAGUCCGGUGUGAAACCUUGGGGCUCAACCCCAAGCCUGCACUGGAUACUGCCUCGCUUGAGUCCGGGAGGGGAGAGCGGAAUUCCUAGUGUAGCGGUGAAAUGCGCAGAUAUUAGGAAGAACACCGGUGGCGAAGGCGGCUCUCUGGAACGGUACUGACGCUGAGACGCGAAAGCGUGGGGAGCGAACAGGAUU
rnacentral:rRNA from 1 species